AUGGGGACAGUGGGAGAGCUGUGGGGCCAAUGGGAGAGCAAUGGGGCCAAGAAGAGAGCAAUGGGGUCAAUGGGAGGGCAAUGGGGCCAGGAGGAGAGUGAUGGGGACAGUGGGAGGGCAAUGGGGCCAAGAAGAGAGCAACGGGGCCAAUGGGAGGGCAAUGGGGUCAAGAAGAGAGCAAUGGGAGCCAGAGGAGAGCAAUGGGGCCAAUGGGAGAGCAAUGGGGUCAAUGGGAGAGCUAUGGGGCUGAUGGGAGAGCUAUGGGGCCAAGAAGAGAGCAAUGGGAACAAUGGGAGAGCAAUGGGGUCAAGAAGAGAGCAAUGGGAACAAUGGGAGGGCAGUGGGGCUGAUGGGAGAGCAAUGGGGUCAAUGGGAGAGCAACGGGGCCAAUGGGAGGGCAAUGGGGUCAAGAAGAGAGCAGUGGGAGCCAGAGGAGAGCAAUGGGGCCAAUGGGAGAGCAAUGGGGUUGAUGGGAUGGCAGUGGGGCUGGUAGGAGAGCGAUGGGGUCAGCAGGAGAGCAAUGGGGCUGAUGGAAGAGCAAUGGGGCCAAGAAGAGAGCAAUGGGGCCAAUGGGAGAGCAGUGGGGACAAUGGGAGAGCUAUGGGAACAAUGGGAGGGCAAUGGGGACAAUGGGAGGGCAAUGGGGACAAUGGGAGAGCAGUGGGGCCAGGAGGAGAGCAAUGGGAGCCAGAGGAGAAUAAUGGGGACAAUGGGAGGGCAGUGGGGCUGAUGGGAGAGCUAUGGGGCCAAUGGGAGAGCAAUGGGGCCAGCAGGGGAGCUAUGGGGCCAGCAGGAAAGCUGUGGGGCCAGCAGGAGAGCUAUGGGGCCAAGAGAAGAGCUAUGGGGCCAGCAGGGGAGCUAUGGGGCCAGCAGGAGAGCUAUGGGGCCAAUGGAAGAGCAGUGGGGCCAGCAGGAGAGCUAUGGGGCCAGCAGGAGAGCUAUGGGGCCAAUAGAAGAGCAGUGGGGCCAGCAGGAGAGCUAUGGGGCCAAGAGAAGGGCUGUGGGGCCAGCAGGACAGCUAUGGGGUGGGGAUGGGGUGGGAUAUGGGGCGGGGGUGGGAUUGGGGUGGGAUGGGAUUGGAUGGAAAUCCCAAUGAUUUCAGGAUCCUACUGA
rnacentral:lncRNA from 1 species